rnacentral:rRNA from 1 species
UACGUAGGGUGCAAGCAUUAUCCGGAGUGACUGGGCGUAAAGAGUUGCGUAGGCGGUUAGUAAAGCGAAUAGUGAAACCUGGUGGCUCAACCAUUCAGACUAUUAUUCGAACUCACUAACUCGAGAGUGGUAGAGGUAACUGGAAUUUCUAGUGUAGGAGUGAAAUCCGUAGAUAUUAGAAGGAACACCAAUGGCGUAGGCAGGUUACUGGACCAUUUCUGACGCUAAGGCACGAAAGCGUGGGGAGCAAACAGG